AACCUGCCCUGAACUCUGGGAUAAGCACUGGAAACGGUGUCUAAUACUGGAUACGACCUAUCACCGCAUGGUGUGUGGGUGGAAAGAUUUAUCGGUUUUGGAUGGACUCGCGGCCUAUCAGCUAGAUGGUGAGGUAAUGGCUCACCAUGGCGACGACGGGUAGCCGGCCUGAGAGGGUGACCGGCCACACUGGGACUGAGACACGGCCCAGACUCCUACGGGAGGCAGCAGUGGGGAAUAUUGCACAAUGGGCGCAAGCCUGAUGCAGCAACGCCGCGUGAGGGAUGACGGCCUUCGGGUUGUAAACCUCUUUUAGUAGGGAAGAAGCGAAAGUGACGGUACCUGCAGAAAAAGCACCGGCUAACUACGUGCCAGCAGCCGCGGUAAUACGUAGGGUGCAAGCGUUGUCCGGAAUUAUUGGGCGUAAAGAGCUCGUAGGCGGCUUGUCGCGUCUGCUGUGAAAUCCCGGGGCUCAACCCCGGGCCUGCAGUGGGUACGGGCAAGCUAGAGUGCGGUAGGGGAGAUUGGAAUUCCUGGUGUAGCGGUGGAAUGCGCAGAUAUCAGGAGGAACACCGAUGGCGAAGGCAGAUCUCUGGGCCGCUACUGACGCUGAGGAGCGAAAGCAUGGGGAGCGAACAGGAUUAGAUACCCUGGUAGUCCAUGCCGUAAACGUUGGGAACUAGAUGUAGGGCCUGUUCCACGGGUUCUGUGUCGUAGCUAACGCAUUAAGUUCCCCGCCUGGGGAGUACGGCCGCAAGGCUAAAACUCAAAGGAAUUGACGGGGGCCCGCACAAGCGGCGGAGCAUGCGGAUUAAUUCGAUGCAACGC
rnacentral:rRNA from 1 species